CCUACGGGAGGCAGCAGUAGGGAAUCUUCCGCAUUGGACGAAAGACUGACGGAGCAACGCCGCGUGAGUGAAGAAGGUUUUCGGAUCGUAAAACUCUGUUGUCAGAGAAGAACAAGUUGGAGAGUAACUGCUCCAGCCUUGACGGUAUCUGACCAGAAAGCCACGGCUAACUACGUGCCAGCAGCCGCGGUAAU
rnacentral:rRNA from 1 species